rnacentral:rRNA from 1 species
CAUUAGUGAACGCCCUCACGGGCUUAUAACUAUUCCAAACCUCUGUGAACCGUGCCCUUCGGGGCUAUUUUACAAACAUGGUGUAAUGAACGUCAUAUAUCAUAACAAAACAAAACUUUCAACAACGGAUCUCUUGGCUCUCGCAUCGAUGAAGAACGCAGCGAAAUGCGAUAAGUAAUGUGAAUUGCAGAAUUCAGUGAAUCAUCGAAUCUUUGAACGCACCUUGCGCCCUCUGGUAUUCCGGAGGGCAUGCCUGUUUGAGUGUCAUGUAGACUCAAUCCCUCGGGUUUCCGAGGAGAUUGGACUUGGGUGUUGCCGCUCUGCCGGCUCGCCUUAAAAGACUUAGCGGGAUAGCACCGUAGUCGGCGUAAUAAGUUUCGUCGGUGAAGGUUGUGAUGACUGCUUACAAUCGCCCUCGGGCAAUUUUUGACUCUGACCUCAAAUCAGGUAGGACUACCC